CGGACGGGUGAGUAAUGUCUGGGAAACUGCCUGAUGGAGGGGGAUAACUACUGGAAACGGUAGCUAAUACCGCAUAAUGUCGCAAGACCAAAGAGGGGGACCUUCGGGCCUCUUGCCAUCGGAUGUGCCCAGAUGGGAUUAGCUUGUUGGUGGGGUAACGGCUCACCAAGGCGACGAUCCCUAGCUGGUCUGAGAGGAUGACCAGCCACACUGGAACUGAGACACGGUCCAGACUCCUACGGGAG
rnacentral:rRNA from 1 species